rnacentral:lncRNA from 1 species
UGGUUCUGUCAUUCUGUGAAAUCUAGAUCUAAGGUCAGCUCUAGCAGUGGCUGGUGACAGGGGUGAGUGUCCCCAGGGCCCUCGGGGGUGGCCCAUAGCGCUGGCACUGGGUGGUGGCCCUGGGCUUCCCCUGAGGGAAGAGCUGGUUCGCAGGCCCCUGGGGAGGGGUCUCAAGCAGGUGAAAGAGCGUUUUGAGGGGAUGGGGAGAGAAGUGCCCGGGGCCUCGUGUCACCCACGCGCGGGGCGAGGGAGGCUGACCCAGCUGUCGCCGCAGGCGGGACGUGGGGCUGUGCGGGGUGCUGCAGGAGAUCGCCAGCGCCGAGGAGGAGGGUGAGUCUGGGCCCAUCUCUCUGCAUCUCGCUUCGAUGCUUCAUUUCCCUCCAUCCCACCCCUGCCUGUCGCCGCUGCCGGGGCUUCCUCCGCCCCUCGGGCCUCUCGUCGGAGCCCGCGGAGGCGCUGAUGGUGCUUUUCUCUCCGCAGGGCUGCAGUGGGUGAAGACGGGCUCGAGCUACACGCUGGCCGUGUGCCACUGGCUCUCCUCGCUGCACGGCUCCCUCUUCCCUCACCUCUCGCUCACCAGCGAAGACAUGAUCGCAGCGUUCUCCCAGGCGGUGGAUUGGUGAGUCCUGUGCGUUGUGAAACCCUGUGGAAGGGGGUUAUGGAGCCAAGCGAAGCGGGUGGGGAUCAAGGACAAGAUCACCCCGUUUUUUUGUGUUCAGGCCCCCAUUAGACAGAUGUUAGGGUGGGUAUUUCCCCGUUGUCUCUGGCUGCCCCAGUUUGUAUAUGACAGUGAGGCAAGGUGUGCCCUGAUGCACUGCACGUGGGGGAAAUGGUGUCAAACUAGAUCAGGGCUGGGAAAAUUCCUUCAAAUACCAACCCUGGACUUUGUUAACCAACCCCUCGGCAGAGCCCUGUGAAUAAUAGCCAGGAACGGGCAAUUCAUCAGAGAAAAGGGUCCCAUUCAGCAGCAAAAAGGAGGUUUUAUUCACCAAUGACUGUGGGAACUGCCUGUGUUGGCCCUGGGGGGCUGUUGGGAGUCUGCUGAAUUCAAGAGGAGGCUGAGGGGAGACCACCUGGCCCUCUGCAACUCCCUGCCAGGAGGGUGCAGAGAGGGGGGAGGAGUCUCUUGAGCCAAGGAGCCAGCGCCAGGCCAAGAGGGAAUGGCCUCAAGCUGCGCCAGGGCAGGGUCAGACUGGCUCUGAGGAAGGAUUUCUUU